UACGUAGGUGGCAAGCGUUGUCCGGAAUUAUUGGGCGUAAAGGGUGCGUAGGUGGCUCUUUAAGUGGGAUGUGAAAGCCCUUGGCUUAACCAAGGAACGGCAUUCCAAACUGGAGAGCUAGAGUGCAGGAGAGGAAAGUGGAAUUCCUAGUGUAGCGGUGAAAUGCGUAGAGAUUAGGAGGAACACCAGUGGCGAAGGCGACUUUCUGGACUGUAACUGACACUGAGGCACGAAAGCGUGGGGAGCAAACAGG
rnacentral:rRNA from 1 species